GCUGGGGCUGUGAGCCGCCCUCCAGUUAGUACCCGAGGGGUGGCGCCUUAGGAAUGGGUGGGUGCUGCCGCCCUGCCGCCCACCCAGGCCAGGGCAACCCAGAGCUCUCCCCAGCCCCAGCCUCCGGCAGUGUCCGCCAGGCAGGGCGGGACCCAGCGCGGGGUUGAGUAGCUGACCCGAGGGGGAUGACUAAACCUUGGCUGCGAGCAGGCAAGGCAGGUGCCAAGUUAUGAGGCGACGAUAACCCGGCCCCCAGCGUCUGGGGUCGUGCCCGGGGCCGGGAGGGGCGCGGCGGUGCCUCGAGGGCCAUAAAAGGGGCCGCGCGGCGCCGGGACCGCUUUCUCCUGGAGGUGCGGCAGCGCUGCUUGCGCGCGGGCGGGCGGCAGCUGGGGAGAGGCGGCGGUCCGGCGGGCAGAGGGUUCCGGGACGGCCACUGCGCCCGGACGCGGGCAGCGGACGCAGGCAGGUCGCGGGCCCUCUCUGGGGACUGUCAGGUGCGGGCUGGGCGGGGCGGGGCCGCGACGCCAGCGGGCGAGGAAGCACCGAUUGACCCCGCAUGGCGGCGGCGGCGUGCGAGCCCAUGGCCAGGCCGAGCCUGACCUCCAUCUCGUCGGGGGAGCUGCGCAGCCUGUGGACGUGCGACUGCGAGCUGGCCCUGCUGCCUCUGGAGCAGCUGCUGCGCCUGCAGCCGGGCGCCUUCCAGCUGCGUAGCGACCAGCUCGUGGUGCCAGGGCCUGGGGAGCCCGCGGCCGCGCGUGGGGGCUUCAAUGUCUUCUUCGACGGCCUCGUGCGACUCGACGGGCAGCUUUACAGCCUCAGCAACUACAUCAAGAGAUAUGUGGAACUGACCAACUACUGUGAUUAUAAAGACUACAGGGAAACUAUACUGAGCAAACCAAUGCUGUUCUUUGUUAAUGUACAGACCAAAAAGGACUCCUCAAAAGAAAGGACAUAUGCGUUUCUUGUGAACACAAGGCACCCCAAGAUAAGAAGACAGAUAGAACAGGGGAUGGACAUGGUCAUCUCCUCAGUGAUUGGAGAGAGUUACCGACUUCAGUUUGAUUUUCAAGAGGUAGUGAAGAAUUUUUUCCCUCCAGGGACUGAGCAAUUCCACUGUGAAAGUGAAUGGCAAAGUCCUGAAUUUGUCAAGUACAAGUCCAGAAAAGAAGGAGACAAUUAAGUUAUUUUUGGAAAAAAUGAGCGAACCUUUAAUCCGAAGGAGCAGUUUCUCUGACCGAAAAUUCAGUGUAACUUCCAGAGGCUCAAUAGAUGAUGUUUUUAACUGCAGUCUGUCACCCAGAUCAUCUCUGACAGAGCCUCUUUUGGCAGAAUUACCAUUUCCAAGUGUUCUGGAAUCUGAAGAGACACCAAACCAAUUUAUCUAAUUGGACUGAACAUUCUAGCUGUCACUCUUACACUGCAAGCCUGUGCCAGACUGCAGGUUGAGGGGACGAGAGGAAGUGGGAGGUGGGCACUUCCACCCCUUGCCAACUCCUGGCUCCUCCAUGGCUUCUGUGGAGGGCUCCUUUCUUCCAUUUCCCUGGGUGUGAUGCCCUGGCAGGCCCAGUGAAACUGGCUUCCUUCCAGGCUAUGGUUACCAGGAUGGAAGGGCCCUGGCUCUUGGCAUCAAAUGAAUAUGCUCUGCUUGAACAUUUCUGCAAAGGGCCAGAGGAAGCCUCAGGGUACUGCCACCCUGGACUCUUUUGCUCAGUACCCUGGCACCUCAGGAACUUUCCUGGAAACCUCUCUGGGCGUCAUCUGACUUGGUUGUCAACCUGUGAUGCUUCAUAAUUCAGGGUUUACUCUCUGCUUGAGACACCUUUGUUUAGCCCCAUGCCCAGAAAACACGGGGUUAACAGUGCUCUGCUCUUGCAGACCUGGUGGGCAAAAAGCCUACACCAUCUUUCAUCAGGAGGCAAGCAUGUGUUUCAUCCUGCCUCUGUGAAACCUUAUGAGGAACAUUCAGGGUAAGGUUUGCUGGAUGACUGGCCAGGUAGUUAGGACAGAGACCCUGCCACCCACUGCCUGAAAUGGAACUCCCUUGACCUUUCUCCUCACAAGAGGCACAUGGAGAAUGAGGCCAGGUGGUGUGGUACCAACCUGUGACAUGGAAGGAUAAGGAA